rnacentral:rRNA from 1 species
CCUACGGGUGGCAGCAGUGGGGGAUAUUGCACAAUGGGGGAAACCCUGAUGCAGCGACGCCGCGUGUGGGAAGACGGUCCUCUGGAUUGUAAACCACUGUCCCCAGGGACGAAGAUGACGGUACCUGGGGAGGAAGCUCCGGCUAACUCCGUGCCAGCAGCCGCGGUAAUACGGAGGAUGCGAGCGUUAUCCGGAUUUAUUGGGUUUAAAGGGUGCGUAGGCGGGAUGCCAAGUCAGCGGUAAAAAUGCGGUGCUCAACGCCGUCGAGCCGUUGAAACUGGCGUUCUUGAGUGGGCGAGAGGUAUGCGGAAUGCGUGGUGUAGCGGUGAAAUGCAUAGAUAUCACGCAGAACUCCGAUUGCGAAGGCAGCAUACCGGCGCCCUACUGACGCUGAGGCACGAAAGCGUGGGUAUCGAACAGGAUUAGAUACCCCUGUAGUC